rnacentral:rRNA from 1 species
UACGUAGGGGGCUAGCGUUGUCCGGAAUCAUUGGGCGUAAAGCGCGUGUAGGCGGUCCGGUAAGUCCGCUGUGAAAGUCGAGGGCUCAACCCUCGAAUGCCGGUGGAUACUGUCGGGCUUGAGUACGGGAGAGGCGAGUGGAAUUCCUGGUGUAGCGGUGGAAUGCGCAGAUAUCAGGAGGAACACCGGUGGCGAAGGCGGGUCUCUGGGCCGAUACUGACGCUGAGGAGCGAAAGCGUGGGGGAGCGAACAGG